rnacentral:rRNA from 1 species
UACGGAGGGGGCUAGCGUUGUUCGGAAUUACUGGGCGUAAAGCGCGCGUAGGCGGAUCUGCAAGUCGGGGGUGAAAUCCCGAGGCUCAACCUCGGAACUGCCUUCGAUACUGCGGGUCUCGAGUCCGGGAGAGGUGAGUGGAAUUCCUAGAGUAGAGGUGAAAUUCGUAGAUAUUAGGAAGAACACCAGUGGCGAAGGCGGCUCACUGGCCCGGUACUGACGCUGAGGCACGAAAGCGUGGGGAUCAAACAGG